AAAGGAAUUGACGGGAGCCCGCACAAGCAGUGGAGUAUGUGGUUUAAUUCGACGCAACGCGAAGAACCUUACCAGGACUUGACAUCCCGAGAAUCCGGCGUAAUGGCUGGAGUGCCCUUCGGGGAAUUCGGUGACAGGUGGUGCAUGGUUGUCGUCAGCUCGUGUCGUGAGAUGUUGGGUUAAGUCCCGCAACGAGCGCAACCCUUACGGUCAGUUACUACAUUAAGUUGAGGACUCUGGCCGGACUGCCGUUGACAAAACGGAGGAAGGUGGGGACGACGUCAAAUCAUCAUGCCCCUUACGUUCUGGGCUACACACGUACUACAAUGGCGAAAACAAAGGGAAGCGAUAUCGCGAGAUGGAGCAAACCCCAUAAAAAUCGUCCCAGUUCAGACUGCAGGCUGCAACUCGCCUGCACGAAGUUGGAAUUGCUAGUAAUCGCGGAUCAGCAUGCCGCGGUGAAUACGUUCCCGGGCUUUGUACACACCGCCCGU
rnacentral:rRNA from 1 species